GCACGCCUUCUCCGGCGGCAGCGCGGGGGCGGGGCCGACGGCGGCGAGCUUGACGACGUGGCCGACGUCCACCACCGUGUACUCGGCGAAGCUGGAGACGCACAGGAAGGUGUGGACGGGCUCGCCCGAGGCGGCGAGCGAGAAGCGCGUGGUGCCGUCCCGCGGCAUGUGGCCCGGGCGGUGCGCCAGCACGGAGCAGAUGUUGCUGCGGGCGGACAGGCAGUCGUCGCACUCGCCGCACUGCGGCAGGAACACCGGCACCACCGUGUCCCCCACGGCCACCUCCUGGACAUGCUCCCCCACGCUCUCCACCACGCUGGACAGACAGGACAGUGGACACGACGAAUCAACAACGCAAAUGCCAUGGCAACGGAUCGAACUGCAUGCAUGUGCUCAUCUAUCUAUCGGCGAUUAGAACAAAACUCAAACUUUUCCUUUUUUUUUCAGAACAGAACAAAACCGGCCUGAAAGUAAACUGUGGCUGUCUGAAUGUAAGCCUACCCUACUGCUUCGUGCCUGAGGAUGGACGGAUACAUGGCCGGCAAAUCCUGCAAAAAGGAACAAAAACGGUGUGCGUAAGUAACAAAACUACGAAAAUCUGUGCAUGGAUAUGGAUCUAAGAUCAUCUCCAAUAAAGUUCAAAAAACAACCACUACAUCAGCGACUUUUCCAAAAAAAAAAAGGCAACAUAUUAUUGGGUUACCGUUUCUAAAAUCUCGAUCAUAAUAAAAGAUAGAAGACAAUUUCAAGUAGUACAAUUGUAUUGAGAAUCUUGAUCUUAGAGCAUCUCCGCGAGUUUUAUAAAACAACUCUUUGUUUUCAUUUCUUUAGCAAAAAGUAAAAAAAAAGUUACCCAAUAGUUUGCUAAAUAGUUUUCUUAAAAUAUUUUGAUUAGUCAAACAUCACAUUUGCAUAGAUGAUAUUUUUUAUCUCAUUUUUUUCUAAAUGAGCCGCCGAGCCGAUUAGCCGAAGCACAGAACUGCUCUUCCUAGCGCACGAUCGAUAUGCGGAUGCGAGGAAAUAGGAGGGAAUCAGAAUCAGCCGAUGCCCAGCCGGCACCCGGCAUGGCCGCAUGGGUGUUCUGCAAUCUAUAUCUGCAUCCGUACCUUCAUGCACCAGAAGGUGACGUCCGUGUGGCAGAGCGAGGUGCAGAUGAUCCUGACGCGGACCUCGUGCGCCCGCGGCGGCGCCACCUCCACCUCCUCCAUCUCCAGCGGCCGCCCCGGCGCCUUGCUCACCGCCGCUGCGCGACGAUCACAGCUAGGGCGCUGUUCAUACAACUAGUACAAGGCAGGAAGGAACGAAGCAGGAGAGAGAGACGGAGGUGCGCGCGGCCGGGGAGGAAGGUGCAGUGCACGCACCACACAUACCUCUGCAUCUGAUGGGCUUCGCGGCGCUCUGCUCCAUCGCCGCCGCCACGGCCACCACCCGGUCAGAGGACGCCACAGCUCUCGCUCGCUCGAGGUGCGAGUGCGAUGCGAUGAUGUCCUGUGAAGCUGUGGCAAACAGCAGGCGUGUCAAGUGGGGGUAAAGCAAAACGUAAUUUUCUACUAUCUUCUAUAAUAAUGAAGGACGAAAUUGGUUAGGUAGGUUUUUGUCUGCUCAGCUAGCUUCAGAAAUCUCAUGUGGCUCAACAGUAGCUGCGGGCUGCGGGUAGUGCCCUCACCGGCCUGCCCACGAUAUAGGUCACCGAGCUGUCAUCACCGCUAAAGAAAAAGAGCAUUGUGUUGUGGGUCUGCUUGCUUGGGUGCCAAAAACAUCAAAGGUUGAGUGCCAUAAACCUAUCAUAUUAGGACUUUAGGAGAGAUGAUGUAGUUCCAUGAUUUUGCUUGACAACUUUUGAUUUUGCUUGAUAAGGUUGAGCUGUCAUUACCGCUAAAGAAAGAGAGCAUUGUGGGUCCAUGAUUUUGCCAUAACUAUUGGUGAUGCUCUCCCAUGAUUUUGCUUGACAGCCUUUGAUUUUAGCUUGGGGAUCUGAUAUAGAGAUGCUCUUAGGACAAAAAAUGUAGAAAUGUAAUUGGUUGAGUGCCACGACAUAGUAGUGAGCAUUUUCUUUUCCUCUUAUGAGGCUGAUUGAAGAAGCUUCUAGUGGUUUUGCCAUGACUUUGGCCAUAAAAUUGAUGUGCCAUUUUUUUGGUAAUGAAUCAAUCAAUACCCAAAGUUUAUAGGUUUGUGUUUUAGUCCUUGUUUUUACUCCAGAUACUUUAUGGGUUUUAAUUUUGCACGUUUAUACAUAUGCAUGCUCUUUCAACAUUAUGUAAACUUGGUUCAACAAUAUGUGAAGCCACAACAUUUCAACACAACAUUAUGCGUGGAAAUGUUCAUUUUAAAACCUAUUUCGUCGCCACUUACAUACAUAGAUACAUAGAGUAGCAAAUUGGAGUCACGACAACAAGAUCAUUGCUGUCCACACAACACAAGUGCGCGUACGACGAUGUCCUGGCAGUCAGUCCUGCGUGCGCGCCGGCGGCACGCGGCAUCACGCGCCGUCGUUCUCCUUGGCGCCGUAGUCGUCGUCCAUCCAGAUGAUGCAGCGGAUGCACUUCCCUUGGGUGAGCAGGUCGAACGCGCGGUUUAUCUCCUGGAAACCCAUCUGGUGCGUGAUGAAGUCGUCCAGCUCCAGCUCCUGGAAAAAAAUGCAUGUCAUUCCUCCAGGCAAUCACAAUAAGGCAUGCAUGGAUCGACGACGAUGGAGCUCAUUCAUGAGCUCACAGCAUGCAGAUCCUGCGGAUGAUAUGAUCACCUUGUCUAGGUACUUGUGUGCCAGCACGGGGAUGUCGUCCUUGGGCUUGAUCCCACCGAAGAGCGAGCCGGUGACCGACCGCCCCCGCAUGAUGUCGAACGACGGCACGCUGAUCGGCGCCAAGCUGCCGUCGACGCCGAGAACGACCGUCUUCCCCCAGCCCUGCACACAACAAGAUUCAACGGUGGGCAGUGUUUUUUUUUUUCUGACACUCGUUAAAGAGAUCUUUUUGCCGAGUAUUUUUUAAAAAGCCUUUCUAUCCGGUGGUUUUUUUGUCGAAGUGUUUUUUUUUUUACUUAGAAAAAAACUUCUUUGCCGAGUGUUAAAAAAACACACUUGGCAAAGCCGAUUUCGUUAGUGCAGGCGUGCUGUGACGACCGUGCGGCCGUCCGUACCGUUCGUGAGCUUUUGAAUGCUUCCGCCAUGACUGAAACUGAACCGAUGCACUCGAAGCAGUAGUCGGCGCCUUCGCCGCCGGUCAUCUCCUUGAUGACCUGGUCGUCGUCGUGUACAUGCACCAUCGUAGGUGAGCUUGGUUGCCAGCCACAUACGUAGGUAUAUAUAUGCAUCGAAAAACAUAUAUACACACACAGGGAAAUUGCAUUGCAUUUUCAUUCAGACCUCGCUCACGGCGGUCUUCUCCGCGAUAUCAUUUGGAUUGACGAAGUCGGUGAUCCCCAUCUUCUUGCCUGCACAGGUGCAUGCGAAACAAACAACCACUCGAUCAGUGACAGUAGUAUAUAUGACCUGCCACUCACUACAAGUACUUUUACAAUUUUACCAGCUGAAGAAAAGCAAUUGGCAUACCGAUCUCGAACUUGUCAGGAUUCACGUCUACCCCGAUGAUCCUCUUAGCUCCUCGCAUCUUGGCCCCUUGCGCUACCUACACAGUUCAUUGGUUCAGGCAUCGUCCGGUCGCUAUCCAGUUCAUAUAUUGGAUGAUCCAUCCCAGUCAACGGACGGAUCAUCACGCAACAUCAGAUUAUGAGAUAUACAAAAUGAACACGUGUGGUGUGUGUCGUCGUUCCAAAACUUGUAGACAACGACAAUUCGAUGUUUGUGUGUGUUAAUUAUAAUUUCCGUUGGUGUUGGUCUUGGCGUAUCGCACGGAGAGCGACACAACAGCUAUUCAGCUAACGGAGCACAUCAACAAAACAUCAGUUGGGGCUGUCGUCGUCGUCGUUACCGCUAACCCAACAGCUCCUAGUCCAAAGACGGCUACGGUGGAGCCGGGCUCCACCGCCGCAACCUUCCAAGUCGCACCAACUCCUGCACAUGCAUAUGGAUGCAGAUGCAGCACGGCAUCGUCAGCCGGGUGAUGACGCGAACAGACAACGAUCGACCCACGAAAUCCGGCAAUGUGUGUACGUGCGCGCGCGUACCGGUGGUGACGCCGCAGCUGAGCAGGCACGCCUUCUCCGGCGGCAGCGCGGGGGCGGGGCCGACGACGUCGAGCUUGACGAGGUGCGCGACGUCCACCACCGUGUACUCGGCGAAGCUGGAGACGCACAGGAAGCUGUGGACGGGCUCGCCAGUGGCGGCGAGCGAGAAGCGCGUGGUGCCGUCCCGCGGCAUGACGCCGGGGCGGUACGGCAGCGCGGAGCAGAUGUUGCUGCGGGCGGAGACGCAGUCGGCGCACUCCCCGCACUGCGGCAGGAACACCGG
rnacentral:lncRNA from 1 species